rnacentral:rRNA from 1 species
GAUUUCUGGUAUGACGCGCCUAGCCCGCCACGGUUACGUGUGUGAGUGCAGGGUCGGGUCUACCAUCCUUCCAGUGUUGCUAUUCUACUCUUCACUGAGCCGGAGUAGUGAGCUGGAUCUUUUACUUUGAAAAAAUUAGAGUGUUUAAAGCAGGCGUUUGCUAUGAAUACAUUAGCAUGGAAUAAUAAUUUAGGACUUUGGUUCUAUUUUGUUGGUUUCUAGGAUUGAAGUAAUGAUUGAUAGGGAUAGUUGGGGGUGCUAGUAUUCAGUGGCCAGAGGUGAAAUUCUCGGAUUCACUGAAGACUAACUUAUGCGAAAGCAUU